AGGGCCUGAGCGUCUGUGCUUCUAACGAGCUUUGAGAUUCUGCUGAUGCUGCUGGACCACCUGGCAACCACCUUGCCCACAGCAUCCCCACUGCUCUGAGUCCACAGGGCUGCUUAAGGCACACAGCGCAAAUAUGGUACAGGCAGCAAGAAGCAGUGGAAAGAACCCUGAGCGUGGAAACACACCGAGCCCUGGGUCCCCCUUUAGUGAGAUGGGAGAUGUCAGAACUGGUUUCCCAGUCAGUAAAAUGGUGCUGACUUUCCUCCCAGGAGUCGUGAGAAGGAAGAGACACAGGGCAAAUGAGAGCUGUCUGUAAAUAAGAGCACUGUGGGCACGGAAGGAUUAUUACUGCCAGAAGCCACCUGGUACCUGUGAGACACCCCAGAGAAAGACGUGCUAAAGAUAAGCUUCCCAGUAAAACCCACACAAGAGCACAAGCAAACCUCUGGGAGGUCAACUCGAGACAUGAUACUGAAAGUGUGGUUUGUGGUCCAGCAGCAUGAGCAUCACCUGGGAGCCUGUUAAAAACAGAACUCAGAUCCCAGCCCAGAAGGGAAUCCGAAUCUACUGACUCAGUAUCUGCAUGUGAACAACUGCCCGAGCCGUUCAAAUGCACAGAGAGGCAGCAGACUCCCUGGUCCUGUGCUCUGGUCAGGACCUGCAUCGGUCCCCUCACUCACCCUCUGACUUCUGGGGCAUCUCCGCUUAGAUUUUGAGCUCGAGUCUGGAUCUGCUCCAGGAAGAGACUGAGCCUGAAUUAUGCCUCCUUUUCUUCCUUGAGCAAGACUGUCUUAUUGCUGAGCUGGAAAAUUAUCACCAUCAUGUUUACAGUAAUGAUUCCGAAGAAACAAGAGAUGGUGGAAUCACGUUCAGGAUAGGACGAUAAUGCAUUUCUGAAAUUUACCUUCUAAAGAGGUUUAAAUUAACAACAACAACAAUAACAACAGUGUCCUGUUGCUUCAUUUAUUUGAACUGUGACAACCCGGAAAAGUCGUCAGUAUGAAGUGACUCAUUCCCUGAGGGUUCUGAAUAAGAUUCUAAAAUCACCACCCAUGGUUUUCCUGCACUUUGAAGCGACAGAACAAAUGACAGCAGAGAUGGGUACUCGCCUCUUGAGUCCAGAGUGGCUGAUACACAAAUAUCUCGCAACAAUAACAUCCUCAUCCAAAAACAGCCUCCCUAAGGAUGUUAUUUCUGGGAUUUCUUGUGCAUUUUAAUGUUCAGAAGCAUUUGUGCACCUGUGGGCCGAGCCCCAGGACCAGAAUGGUCUGGGCUUUUUUUAUAAGGUCGGUCAACAAUUUUGUGGAUGCCCUGUCCACAUCAGGUCCUGUUCUAGGGACAUGGAGAGGAAUCCAACUCUCUGAGCUUUCAUGAAGCAAAUAUUGGGAGUUCUAAUGAAAAUGUAGAAGAGUUAUAAAGGUGUUAUCAGCGAGGAGGCUGGGGGGAAAGAGUCUGGGAAAACGCUCCUAGACAUGCCUUGUGAGAAGGGGUUUGGUCAAUAAACAGGGGUGAGUGCAGUGCAGUAGGAAGGAACACGGGCCUUGAGGUGAAAGGGCUUGUCGGGGUUCCUUUCCAUGCUGGACAACGAUUUGAUGCUAUGGAGAAAAACACAAGAUACGCAGCCCUUUAGAUCAUGUCACAAACCAUGGAUGAGUCCAUGGGACCCCGACAGAACACUCUGAUGGCCUCCAUGGGUCUGCUCUGAGCUCACUGCUUCAUGGUUACCGCACACCCAAGCCCAAUUUCCCCACCUCCUGCUUGGGUGAUCUGCCUAUUUCAUUCUCCCAUGGAAAAUGUCUACACUUCUUCCAGGGUCAGUUCUGAGGUUGCUAAUGAAACCGAGUUAGAAGGAAAGGAGUUGAUCUUUCUAGGUUUGGAACUUGAGGCUGAAGUACUUAAAGGAAAUCCAGCUGGUGGUGUCACAAAGGCGGUAGGUUUUGGCUCAGGGAAGAGAAAAUAACAUAGAUAUGAAUUUGAGAUUCAUCAGAAAUUUGAAGCAAAUGUUAACUCCCCACCUAUGUGCUUCUGUUCCGGAAUAGCUCCUUCGUCUUCUGUUGGAAUGGAUGAACCCAGCCCCUCCAUAAAUCUUAUCCCCUCCCACUGUUCAAGAACAGGGCAUGAGCAAUUCUCCUCUCUCCUGCCUUGUGAACCUUCUCCUCUCCAUUGGGCAAAUCCCAUCAGGAAUAGCAUCUUCUUAAAUCACAAAGCAAAAACAAAUAAACAAUCCUCUUGACCUG
rnacentral:lncRNA from 1 species